rnacentral:rRNA from 1 species
GUAACAUAACAACCUUCAUACUCAAUCUCAUCUGAUUUUGGAAGCUAAGCAGGGUUGGGCAUGGUUAGUACUUGACUAGGAGACUACCUGGCAUGGUGAUGGCAGGGAUUUCC